rnacentral:rRNA from 1 species
CUACGGGGUGCUGCAGUAAGGAAUAUUGGACAAUGGAGGAAACUCUGAUCCAGCCAUGCCGCGUGAGUGAUGAAGGCCUUCGGGUUGUAAAGCUCUUUUAGGUGUGACGAUGAUGACGGUAACACCAGAAAAAGCCCCGGCUAACUUCGUGCCAGCAGCCGCGGUAAUACGAAGGGGGCGAGCGUUGUUCGGAAUCACUGGGCUUAAAGCGUACGUAGGCGGAUUAACAAGUCAGAAGUGAAAGCCCAGGGCUUAACCCUGGAAUUGCUUUUGAAACUGUUAGUCUGGAAUCCGGUAGAGGUUGGCGGAACUCCGAGUGUAGAGGGGAAAUUCGCAGAUAUUCGGAAGAACACCAGUGGCGAAGGCGGCCAACUGGACCGGUAUUGACGCUGAGGUACGAAAGCGUGGGUAGCAAACAGGAUUAGAUACCCUUGUAGUC